ACAGAAAGAAAACCGCAGCAUGCUAUGGUUUGCUCUCAGGUAUGGGAACACAAGCAAACGGAACGCAUUUUGGAGCAUUCCGUUCUGUUCAGUUACAUUUUGUCCCCAUUGACAAUGAAUGGGGACAAAACGGAAUUUAGCCCUCCUCUU